UACGUAGGGGGCAAGCGUUAUCCGGAUUUACUGGGUGUAAAGGGAGCGUAGGCGGUGCAGCAAGUCAGAAGUGAAAGCCCGGGGCUCAACUCCGGGACUGCUAUUGAAACUGUUGAACUAGAUUGCAGGAGAGGUAAGUGGAAUUCCUAGUGUAGCGGUGAAAUGCGUAGAUAUUAGGAGGAACACCAGUGGCGAAGGCGGCUUACUGGACUGUAAAUGACGCUGAGGCUCGAAAGCGUGGGGAGCAAACAGG
rnacentral:rRNA from 1 species